ACAUAUUCUUUGGCUAAGAUCAAGUGUAGUAUCUGUUCUUUUGAGAUUAAAAUCUGAUAUGACGCUUAUGGAGUGUCGAGAUUUUAAUCUAAUUUUUGAACUCCCGGCUUGAGGUUCGGUAUUUAUACCGCCCUUGCCACAGAUUGGCCCGCUAUUGCACUCUAUGCGGGAGCGGCCUUCAUAAA
rnacentral:snRNA from 1 species